AUGGUCAUUAUGUUACUUAAUGACCAUUAUUUAAAACCACGUCAAAGAUCCCUAUAUAUGGUCAAAGAAAUGGAAUGGAAUGCAGACUUUUGGAUCAAAAUAUCGAUCAAUAUUUUGAGUUUCUAAAAUUCUAUAUUUUAAUUCACAAUAUUUAUGUAUCAAUCUAUAUUUUUAUUAUUAAAAAAUUAAGGUUUCAAUUAUG
rnacentral:misc_RNA from 1 species